rnacentral:lncRNA from 1 species
UCCUCCCGUGCCAGUAUCGCAGCUGUAAAGCCGCCCGCCAAGCCGUGGGCAGUGAUCUGAGCCCCCGAAUCACGCUGUGCCCGGAUCCCGCGGAGGAGGAACGCCGCAGCCCGUGCCGAGCGCCCGCCUCGCGUUGGCACCCGGACGCGCUGAGGAGCUGCCCGGCGCCAUGGGGUGCUCGUGAUUUGAACCCCGCAUUCUGGGAGGGAGAGGGUUGGGGUGGGAUCCCCCCACCCUCAGAGCGGAGGCCGCCGCUCUCCGGAGCGCCCAGCGCCGAGUGUGAGGAGGGGUGAGCGCCGUACCGAUGUUUUGGGGUAAAACCUCUCCUGUUUAGCACUGUACAGCGCCUGUCAG